rnacentral:lncRNA from 1 species
GGGCAAGAAGGGCAUCGCCAGCAAGGACCGCAGUGGGCUCGUCGAAGGCGCGAUGGCAGGAGGGGCGGCCGCGGCGGAGGUCGUCGUCGUCCAUGCAGGGGAGGUCGUCGUGGAUGAGGGACAUGGUGUGGAUCAUCUCGACGGCCACGGCGGCAGGCAUCGCGCAGGCGUCCCAGCCGCCGGCUACCUCGCAGGCGGCGAGGCAGAGGACGGGGCGGAUGCGCUUGCCGCCGCCGAGGAGGGAGUAGCGCAUCGCCUCGUGGAUCCGCUCUGGGCGAGCGAGCGGCACCGCCUCGUCGAGGGCGCGAUUGACGAUGGCCGCCUUCUGGAGCAUGUAGCCUUUGAAGUCGAAGGUCGGGGCCACGGCCGGCUCGGCGGCGGAGACGUCGACCUCCGUGGCAUGGGGUGGAACCGGGCCGCGGCAGCGGGCGGCGAAGGAGAUGGCGAAUGCCCUCCUGGAGGUGACCGGCGGCGGUGGAGGCCGAGAGGGGCGGAAGGCGGGGGAGGGGCGGGAGGAGAGGUGGGCCCUGGUGCCCACCGUGGUAAAGCAGAUGUAAGGGGUGAGCGAAGCCAUGUGUGUAUUCUUCUCCUUGUGUAAGGUAAUUGUGAAUCGAAGCAAGGAGAGUAGCGAAAAGGCAAAUAAAAU